AGUGAACGCUGGCGGUAGGCCUAACACAUGCAAGUCGAACGGCAGCACAGUAAGAGCUUGCUCUUACGGGUGGCGAGUGGCGGACGGGUGAGGAAUACAUCGGAAUCUACUUUUUCGUGGGGGAUAACGUAGGGAAACUUACGCUAAUACCGCAUACGACCUACGGGUGAAAGCAGGGGAUCUUCGGACCUUGCGCGAAUGAAUGAGCCGAUGUCGGAUUAGCUAGUUGGCGGGGUAAAUGCCCACCAAGGCGACGAUCCGUAGCUGGUCUGAGAGGAUGGUCAGCCACACUGGAACUGGGACACGGUCCAGAGUCCUAUGGGAGGCAGCAGUGGGGAAUAUUGGACAAUGGGCGCAAGCCUGAUCCAGCCAUACCGCGUGGGUGAAGAAGGCCUUCGGGUUGUAAAGCCCUUUUGUUGGGAAAGAAAAGCAGCAGGUUAAUACCCCGCGGUUCUGACGGUACCCAAAGAAUAAGCACCGGCUAACUUCGUG
rnacentral:rRNA from 1 species